rnacentral:rRNA from 2 species
AACUGCAUUCGAAACUGGCAGGCUUGAGUCUUGUAGAGGGGGGUAGAAUUCCAGGUGUAGCGGUGAAAUGCGUAGAGAUCUGGAGGAAUACCGGUGGCGAAGGCGGCCCCCUGGACAAAGACUGACGCUCAGGUGCGAAAGCGUGGGGAGCAAACAGGAUUAGAUACCCUGGUAGUCCACGCCGUAAACGAUGUCUACUUGGAGGUUGUGCCCUUGAGGCGUGGCUUCCGGAGCUAACGCGUUAAGUAGACCGCCUGGGGAGUACGGCCGCAAGGUUAAAACUCAAAUGAAUUGACGGGGGCCCGCACAAGCGGUGGAGCAUGUGGUUUAAUUCGAUGCAACGCGAAGAACC